rnacentral:rRNA from 1 species
UACAGAGGGGGCAAGCGUUGUUCGGAAUUACUGGGCGUAAAGGGCGCGUAGGCGGCCUGUUAAGUCGAACGUGAAAUCCCCGGGCUCAACCCGGGAACUGCGUCCGAUACUGGCAGGCUUGAAUCCGGGAGAGGGAUGCGGAAUUCCAGGUGUAGCGGUGAAAUGCGUAGAUAUCUGGAGGAACACCGGUGGCGAAGGCGGCAACCGGGACCGGCAUUGACGCUGAGGCGCGAAAGCCAGGGGAGCAAACGGG